rnacentral:rRNA from 1 species
GAUGAACGCUGGCGGCGUGCCUAAUACAUGCAAGUCGAGCGAACGGACGAGAAGCUUGCUUCUCUGAUGUUAGCGGCGGACGGGUGAGUAACACGUGGAUAACCUACCUAUAAGACUGGGAUAACUUCGGGAAACCGGAGCUAACACCGGAUAAUAUUUUGAACGGCAUGGUUCAACAGUGAAAGAGGGUCUUGCUGUCACUUAUAGAUGGAUCCGCGCUGCAUUAGCUAGUUGGUAAGGUAACGGCUUACCAAGGCAACGAUGCAUAGCUGACCUGAGAGGGUGAUCGGCCACACUGGAACUGAGACACGGUCCAGACUCCUACGGGAGGCAGCAGUGGGGAAUCUUCCGCAAUGGGCGAAAGCCUGACGGAGCAACGCCGCGUGAGUGAUGAAGGUCUUCGGAUCGUAAAACUCUGUUAUUAGGGAAGAACAUAUGUGUAAGUAACUGUGCACAUCUUGACGGUACCUAAUCAGAAAGCCCCGGCUAACUACGUG